rnacentral:rRNA from 1 species
CGUGAGAUGUUGGGUUAAGUCCCGCAACGAGCGCAACCCCUAUCUUCUGUUACCAGCACGUGAUGGUGGGGACUCAGGAGAGACUGCCGCAGACAAUGCGGAGGAAGGCGGGGAUGACGUCAAGUCAUCAUGCCCCUUAUGGCUUGGGCUACACACGUACUACAAUGGCUCUUAAUAGAGGGAAGCGAAAGGGCGACCUGGAGCAAACCCCAAAAACAGAGUCCCAGUUCGGAUUGCAGGCUGCAACCCGCCUGCAUGAAGUCCGGAAUCGCUAGUAAUC